GCCACGGUCGCAUAACCUGGUAUUGCGCAAGCCUGGAAAGCUUGUUUCCGAAAGGAUAUCUCGGUUCAAAUCCGAGCCGUGGCG
rnacentral:tRNA from 1 species